AUUGAACGCUGGCGGCAGGCCUAACACAUGCAAGUCGAACGAGUGGCGGACGGGUGAGUAAUGUCUGGGAAACUGCACGAUGGAGGGGGUUAACUACUGGAAACGGUAGCUAAUACCGCAUACCAUCGGAUGUGCCCAGAUGGGAUUAGCUAGUAGGUGGGGUAAAGGCGCACCUAGACGACGAACCCUAGCUGGUCUGAGAGGAUGACCAGCAACACUGGAACUGGGACACGGUCCCGACUCCGACGGGAGGCAGCAGUGGGGAAUAUUGCACAAUGGGCGCAAGCCUGAUCCAGCCAUCCCGCGUGUAUGAUGAAGUCCUUCGGGUUGUAAGGUACUUUUGGCAGAGAAGCGGUAUCUGCAGAAUAAGCACCGGCUAACUACGUGCCAGCAGCCGCGGUAAUUC
rnacentral:rRNA from 1 species